rnacentral:tRNA from 1 species
GCGCCGGUGGUGUAAUGGGGUAUGUAGAGCAUUCCCGCCCGGUGAGCAGGAGGUGCAGGUUCGAGUCCCGCCUGGUGCU